rnacentral:rRNA from 1 species
UAGCGUAUCGUUUGACGUUAGCGACAGAAGAAAGCACCGGCUAACUCCGUGCCAGCAGCCGCGGUAAUACGGAGGGUGCGAGCGUUAAUCGGAAUUACUGGGCGUAAAGCGCAUGCAGGUGGUUUGUUAAGUCAGAUGUGAAAGACCCGGGGCUCAACCUCGGAAUAGCAUUUGAAACUGGCAGACUAGAGUACUGUAGAGGGGGGUAGGAAUUUCAGGUGUAGCGGUGAAAUGCGUAGAGAUCUGAAGGAAUACCGGUGGCGAAGGCGGCCCCCUCGGACAGAUACUGACACUCAGAUGCGAAAGCGUGGGGAGCAAACAGGAUUAGAUACCCUGGUAG